rfam:Schistosoma margrebowiei strain Zambia genome assembly, scaffold: SMRZ_scaffold0000026
GCACUGCUGAAGGGUCCCACAAUAGGACGAAACGUCUGUCCAGUGC